UGUAGUGGGUAAGUGAGUGGAGUUUGAAGAAGGAAGAUCUGCGUCAACCCUGGCUCCCCUACAUGAGACACAGGUCCUAUGCAACCACUCCAAACCUUUAUUUUCUCAGCUAUAACAUGAACGAGACAAUAAUAACCACCUAGUAGGUUUGCUCUAAGGUUUAAGCGCUAAUCAACAAAGCAUCAUUGUGUGAAGAGCACUUAACACCAUUCCUCACAGCUAUUCAUUGUUUUCAGAUAGUUCAAGGAAUGCCCAACACAUGAAGGCAACUCACCUGCCUCCACUCUGAUCUAUUUGUGGUUUGUUACCUGCAAACUACCUGAGGAGGACCCUGGUCACAGCCAGCCAUAGCUGCGCUGCACCAGUACAGGCUCAAUGAGUACUCUGUCUCUUUUUAAGGAGUAGACAUUGUCUGUCAUCCACUUGGAGAGGAUAGGGUUCCUUCUCCACUGUGGCAGCAGAGGGGGAAAGAUCCUCUGACCCUGGGGGACUGACACCCACUAUUGAAGCUGAUCUUGCUCGGUCUCUCCUCUAUCAUCGUCAGAGCACUGCAGAGUGAGUUCUAUGGAAUACAGGAGUAAGGGAAUGACAAUAACUUGCUGUCCCAUAAUUUAAGACCCCCACUGUUACCAGCUGCUGCUGCUCCCUUUCUUACUAACAGGAAGGGAUUCCUACAUGUCCUUCAAAGUCAGCUCAAGUAUAAUUUCCUUUUGGAAGCAUUCUGCUAUCUUCAUGCCAGGAAGGAAGAAAACAAGAGAAGCAAAACCAUUGUAAGUGGGCUACUAUUAUUUCCCCCAAUUCUAUACAGUAACUCUAGUACCAGAUGUUAGAUGAGAAGGGUUAAUCCUCUAAGC